CCUAUCAAAUGGGAAGUUGCUUUCUACACAUUCAGGAGGUUACCACAUUGAGAGCUUCUGUUUGGGCAGACGAGAUUCUGCCUUAUCUGGUGUCUUGGGCAGAAAGUGUUUCUCAUGCUCCUUUGCUUUGGGCGAUUGGAAUUCCAUUUGUUCCUUGUGCGCAUGGGCUGUUUGCAUUGGCUGUCUGGCUGAACUGGAUUCUCCCUUUUCCAUUUGCGCAAGACCUGUCUGAAA
rnacentral:lncRNA from 1 species